GCCAGACUCCUACGGGAGGCAGCAGUGGGGAAUAUUGCACAAUGGGGGAAACCCUGAUGCAGCGACGCCGCGUGAGCGAUGAAGUAUUUCGGUAUGUAAAGCUCUAUCAGCAGGGAAGAAAAUGACGGUACCUGACUAAGAAGCCCCGGCUAACUACGUGCCAGCAGCCGCGGUAAUACGUAGGGGGCAAGCGUUAUCCGGAUUUACUGGGUGUAAAGGGAGCGUAGACGGCAGUGCAAGUCCGGAGUGAAAGCCCGGGGCUCAACCCUGGGACUGCUCUGGAAACUGUAAAGCUGGAGUGCGGGAGGGGCAGGCGGAAUUCCUGGUGUAGCGGUGAAAUGCGUAGAUAUCAGGAGGAACACCGGCGACGAAGGCGGCCUGCUGGACCGUAACUGACGUUGAGGCUCGAAAGCGUGGGGAGCAAACAGGAUUAGAUACCCCAGUAU
rnacentral:rRNA from 1 species